rnacentral:rRNA from 1 species
AACGAACGCUGGCGGCAUGCCUAACACAUGCAAGUCGAACGAGACCUUCGGGUCUAGUGGCGCACGGGUGCGUAACGCGUGGGAACCUGCCCUUAGGUUCGGAAUAACUCCCCGAAAGGGGUGCUAAUACCGGAUAAUGUCUUCGGACCAAAGAUUUAUCGCCUUUGGAUGGGCCCGCGUUGGAUUAGCUAGUUGGCAGGGUAAAAGCCUACCAAGGCGACGAUCCAUAGCUGGUCUGAGAGGAUGGUCAGCCACUCUGAGACUGGGACACGGCCCAGACUCCUACGCGAGGCAGCAGUGGGGAAUAGUGGACAAUGGCCGAAAGCCUGAUCCAGCAAUGCCGCGUGAGUUAUGAAGGCCUUAGAGUUGUAAAGCUCUUUUACCCGGGAUGAUAAUGACGGUACCGGGAGAAUAAGCUCCGGCUAACUCCGUG